CUCGGAGCUUUGCUGAAACUGCACAAAAAAUCGAGCUGGGGGGUUCCCUGGUCCCCGAUGUUGGGGCGGAGAGCGCGGCGCCGAGGGAGGGGGCGGCGCAGACCGGCCUAGGGGACACCUGGUCGAGCGCAGCCGCCGCUCCGCUCGAGCCCUGCGCUCCAGUGCCCCCACUGGCUGGAGAGCUCGCCCAGACCGGGGGUCUUCCUCCGUCGCUGACAGAUUUUAACCAUUAGAAGAAUACCAGUUCUGGAAAACAACCAAAGUUUCUUUGAUUGAAUGCCCAUGUAAUGCAUUGGAAUAUGAUAGGCGAUUAAGGUAUACUAAUGGGGUGUGGGUGUGUGUGUGUGUGUGUUUGUUUUUCUUUCUUAAUUCUACACCUACCCAAGAACUUGCUAUGGAUUCUAAGCUGGCCUAGAACUACUAAUUUUUCUGCCUCAACCUCUUCCUUAGUGCUGGAAUUGUAAAUAUGUGCCAGUAUGUAUGCUUUAUACUAACAAAUUUUCAGAACCUAUUAUUAUAUAUCUUUGUAAUAUAAUUGGACUUAAUAGUAAUUCUGAAACCUUUGAAUGAAUUAAAAUCAAUAAGCAAAGAAUAAACAAAUCUUGUGAAUUGGCUGAA
rnacentral:lncRNA from 1 species